rnacentral:lncRNA from 1 species
AGAUAUUAAACAGUCAGGUGAAUUGGUCAUGUUCAGCCCACCCCCUCCAAAAGCAAUGGUGGCCACUGAUAAUCAGUCUUCAGAUCCUGCCUUGGAAACCUACAAACAGAAGGGUGGAGCAAAUGGAAUAUCAGAUGAUACUAUAAAGGAUCCCGCAGAAAAUCAAAAUAAGGAAAAUAAACCAAACCAAGCUGUAUCCUGGAAAUCUCCUAGAACUUCCAACCUUUCAUAUGAAAGUGGAGACAGUGUCGAGUCCUUUUCUUUUCCAAUGUAAGCUGCUCCCAUUCUCUAUAUGCAAACACUUAAAUACUAGAAUUCAUGCGCGCUCAACUUUUACGUAUUACUUCUAUUGUGCAUAAAGACUGGUGGAC